GGUUUUUUUGGCUUUGAAAUCUGCCAGUUCUUGGAAUCAGCUUCGACCAGGCCCCUCGGGUUCCCGGGCUGGAGGAAGUGAGCAGGGAAGGUGGUUGGAGAUUUCUCAUCCUCCGAGGAAUAUGUUCGAUACAGACACCGCGGGUCUCCUUGUUAUGCUAGAAACCAGCGGUUGUUUGCACAUAAGGAGCUACCACACGGUAAUGAGGUGCAGCCAGAGGCAAAAUGACAUUUGGCGAAGUCUUUUGUGUUCCGCAGCCGGUGACUCUGAAUGGGAACUCCGGAGUGGCAUGCAGGGCUACAGAAUCACGUCCUGGAUCAAUGUGCGGCAGACAGAGACCUCAUGGCCUGUAGUUAGAAACGGCUUCUUUCUUCAGUGUCAACCCCCUGUAAAACACACGUGAAGGUCUAACAGGCAGAAUUCUUCACUUCAGGAUUGUUUGUAUACUACUGCUGCGAGGAGCGGUCUGCAGGCAGGCAGA
rnacentral:lncRNA from 1 species